rnacentral:rRNA from 1 species
GACGAAAGAUGGAGGAGGGAGGAACACAUGCAAGUCGAACGGAAAGGCCCUGCUUUUGUGGGGUGCUCGAGUGGCGAACGGGUGAGUAACACGUGAGUAACCUGCCCUUGACUUUGGGAUAACUUCAGGAAACUGGGGCUAAUACCGGAUAGGAGCUCCUGCUGCAUGGUGGGGGUUGGAAAGUUUCGGCGGUUGGGGAGGGACUCGCGGCUUAUCAGCUUGUUGGUGGGGUAGUGGCUUACCAAGGCUUUGACGGGUAGCCGGCCUGAGAGGGUGACCGGCCACAUUGGGACUGAGAUACGGCCCAGACUCCUACGGGAGGCAGCAGUGGGGAAUAUUGCACAAUGGGCGGAAGCCUGAUGCAGCAACGCCGCGUGCGGGAUGACGGCCUUCGGGUUGUAAACCGCUUUCGCCUGUGACGAAGCGUGAGUGACGGUAAUGGGUAAAGAAGCACCGGCUAACUACGUG